GAUGAACGUUGGCUACAGGCUUAACACAUGCAAGUCGAGGGGAAACGACGGGGAAGCUUGCUUCCCCGGGCGUCGACCGGCGCACGGGUGAGUAACGCGUAUCCAACCUGCCUCUGACUGAGGGAUAACCCGUCGAAAGUCGGCCUAAUACCUCAUGGCAUCGUCUGCGGGCAUCCAACGACGAUUAAAGAUUUCAUCGGUCAGGGAUGGGGAUGCGUCUGAUUAGCUUGUUGGCGGGGUAACGGCCCACCAAGGCUACGAUCAGUAGGGGUUCUGAGAGGAAGGUCCCCCACAUUGGAACUGAGACACGGUCCAAACUCCUACGGGAGGCAGCAGUGAGGAAUAUUGGUCAAUGGGCGGGAGCCUGAACCAGCCAAGUAGCGUGCAGGAUGACGGCCCUAUGGGUUGUAAACUGCUUUUAUGCGGGGAUAAAGUGAGGGACGUGUCCUUCAUUGCAGGUACCGCAUGAAUAAGGACCGGCUAAUUCCGUG
rnacentral:rRNA from 1 species